UACGAAGGGGGCGAGCGUUGUUCGGAAUCACUGGGCGUAAAGGGCGCGUAGGCGGCCCUCCUUGUCGCGUGUGAAAGCCCCGGGCUCAACCUGGGAACGGCGCGCGAGACGGGGGGGCUGGAGUUCGGGAGAGGAGCGUGGAAUUCCUGGUGUAGCGGUGAAAUGCGCAGAUAUCAGGAGGAACACCGGUGGCGAAGGCGGGUCUCUGGGCCGAUACUGACGCUGGAGGAGCGAAAGCGUGGGGAGCGAACAGG
rnacentral:rRNA from 1 species